UACGUAGGUGGCAAGCGUUAUCCGGAUUUAUUGGGUGUAAAGGGCGUGUAGGCGGGAAUGCAAGUCAGAUGUGAAAACUCAGGGCUCAACCCUGAGCCUGCAUUUGGAACUGUAUUUCUUGAGUGCUGGAGAGGCAAUCGGAAUUCCGUGUGUAGCGGUGAAAUGCGUAGAUAUACGGAGGAACACCAGUGGCGAAGGCGGAUUGCUGGACAGUAACUGACGCUGAGGCGCGAAAGCGUGGGGAGCAAACAGG
rnacentral:rRNA from 1 species